rnacentral:rRNA from 1 species
GAGCUUGCUCCUGUGACGCGAGUGGCGGACGGGUGAGUAACACGUAGGCAACCUGCCCAUCAGGCCGGGAUAACCACGGGAAACCGUGGCUAAUACCGGAUAAUCCUUUUCCUCACAGGAGGGAAAGUUGAAAGACGGCUUCGGCUGUCACUGAUGGAUGGGCCUGCGGCGCAUUAGCUAGUUGGUGGGGUAAGGGCCCACCAAGGCGACGAUGCGUAGCCGACCUGAGAGGGUGAUCGGCCACACUGGGACUGAGACACGGCCCAGACUCCUACGGGAGGCAGCAGUAGGGAAUCUUCCGCAAUGGACGAAAGUCUGACGGAGCAACGCCGCGUGAGUGAAGAAGGGUUUCGGCUCGUAAAACUCUGUUGUCAGGGAAGAACGUCCCCGUGAGUAACUGCACGGGGAGUGACGGUACCUGACCAGAAAGCCACGGCUAACUACGUGCCAGCAGCCGCGGUAAUACGUAGGUGGCAAGCGUUAUCCGGAAUUAUUGGGCGUAAAGCGCGCGUAGGCGGUUCGUUAAGUCUGAUGUGAAAGCCCCCGGCUCAACCGGGGAGGGUCAUUGGAAACUGGCGGACUUGAGUGCAGAAGAGGAGAGUGGAAUUCCAUGUGUAGCGGUGAAAUGCGCAGAGAUAUGGAGGAACACCAGUGGCGAAGGCGGCUCUCUGGUCUGUAACUGACGCUGAGGUGCGAAAGCGUGGGGAUCAAACAGGAUUAGAUACCCUGGUAGUCCACGCCGUAAACGAUGAGUGCUAAGUGUUAGGGGGUUUCCGCCCCUUAGUGCUGCAGCUAACGCAUUAAGCACUCCGCC